rnacentral:rRNA from 1 species
GACAGAGGGUGCAAACGUUGUUCGGAAUUACUGGGCGUAAAGCGUGCGUAGACGGUUAUGUAAGUCAGAUGUGAAAGCCCCGGGCUCAACCUGGGAAUUGCAUUUGAGACUGCAUAGCUAGGGUGCGGAAGAGGGAAGCGGAAUUUUCGGUGUAGCGGUGAAAUGCGUAGAUAUCGGAAGGAACACCAGUGGCGAAAGCGGCUUCCUGGUCCAGCACCGACGUCAGGCACGAAAGCGUGGGGAGCAAACAGG